GUAAAAACCAGGAAAACUGACUACGGAUCAGUAGGCUGAGGGUUCGAAUCCUUCCGAGCGCGCCA
rnacentral:tRNA from 1 species